rnacentral:tRNA from 1 species
GUAUACAUAGUUUAAAAAACACUAGGCUGUGACCCUAGAAAUGAGAGCUUACCCUCUCUGUAAACC